ensembl:lncRNA
AAACUGGCAUCUUAAACAUAGGUGCAGUGAUUUUAUAUUCUAGAACAAUACUACAACACUAAAAAUUUUCAUUUAAAAAUUGCCAUGUACUUACAGCUAUACAAAUGACCUCGAGUUCAAUUCAAAUCAGCAAGAAAAAAGUAGCACACCUGCUUUUCCAAAUGUAAUGCAUGGAAAGAAGAAUCUCACCCCACAUCCAAAGUUGUAGGAAACACAAUGCUGAGGGCCUGCUAUGCUUUGAGAUGACUGCGAUUUGGUAGAUACUUGGGCUCCUACGUGUGGAUUUAAGAGCAUGAUUUUAAGCUUUAAAAACUUGGGACAAUUUCAUCUGCUGGUGCCAAAUAUUACUUCCUUUAACAGGAUCAUUUACAGGAUGACCUGAACAAGUCCUCGCCACAUCCAACCCUGGAACCGGGAAGUAAAAGCAUGCUGAAGUCUGCUGCCUCACUCAGAACCAAAAAUAAAUCAUAGGACAUCCAUCAGCUCUGAAUAACUUAAGAGUAAACAACUAUUACGUGUGCCAGAAUGAGCAGACUGUAUAAAGACGGACGAAUAUAUCCUGAAGCGUUUGUCUGUUUACUCUCCUGAACCCUUUAAUCGGAGAGCUUUGGCUUUCCUUUAACACUGAGAAACCAAACAGCACUGUGAACUCUUAACCUGUGAGAGGACAUCCACCGAUUGUAUUUUUGUCAGAGAAAAAAUUAUAGAACUGCCUAAAAAAGGUGAGAUCAAAGCUGUGAAGCCUGUCGAGGAGCUGGGCACAAAAGCUGUACUCUGCAAAAUGCAACAAGUGGAAGAAAGCAGUGGAUUUCUAUGCUUUUCUGUCAGAAUUCAGUAAGAGUUUUACUACGUGCUCCUUUCUGACAGAGUUGAAAUUUUCAGAAGCCCAGCAGACGUGCCGACAUUUUCUACCACCACUACUCUUUAGAACCAAGGAAGCUUGGAAACUUACUACUUCACAUCAAAGGAUUUUAUCAUUUCUACAGCACUAACAGAACACAGUUCCGAUUCAUAGCACAAGAAGUGCUUAUGUCCUCUGAAGACAAAAUGAAAAAACACCAUUUUACUUCUUGUGAUGUCAGUGCAGUGAUAGGUGAAGGUGAGUUCCUCCAUGUCCAAACGAGACAAGGUGAGGUCCUUUGGGGCCAGACAUUGCUGUGAGAGUGCUGGAGGAGCCAUUGCAGCAGGAGGGCCCCUCCUGGGAGCAGGACCAGAGUUUACAUGAGUGUGUGGCUUUGGUGGAAGUGACUUCAAGGCAGCAGACUUUCUCAUGCUUGCCAUCUGCUUGGUCUGAUCGCAGCCUUGGAAAUAACUUUUUAAGAACAAUGUAUGCCUUCUAAUUCCUGAAGCUUCUGACCCUUCCCUUCCAAAAUACCUGCCUUCUAAAGGUGGAAGUUUGCUGUGGUAACUCCUAGAUUGCUAAGAGCUCUGCAGCAUGCAGCAUGGCUUGCUUUUAUAUGUCCAAACUGGAGUUUCCAUUACUGGAAUUUGUUAUUCUGUUUUUAUUGCAUUAAAACAUAAUAAGGAACAAUAUGAGCAAUGCAAAGUUUAUCUGAAUAAUUACUGUAUUCUGGUAAAACUUGAAUUUAGUGUAGAAGUGGGGUCUACUUAAAGUACAAUCUAAAAGUGAAUUUAUAUUUCAUGCUGAUAUUGUGAGAAAGGGUAGUGUAACAUCAUGUCUGUUUAUAAUUUGCAUGAAAAGUGGAAAAUGCUUCUUCAGCCACUAAUAAAUCUAAUUCAGUUUGUGC